UACGUAGGCAGCAAGCGUUGUUCGGAAUUACUGGGCGUAAAGAGUGUGUAGGCGGUGUUCCAAGUCUGUUGUGAAAUCUCCCGGCUUAACUGGGAGGGUGCGGCGGAAACUGGGAUGCUAGAGGAUGGGAGAGGUAAGCGGAAUUCCUGGUGUAGCGGUGAAAUGCGUAGAUAUCAGGAGGAACACCUGCGGUGUAGACAGCUUACUGGACCAUUUCUGACGCUGAGACACGAAAGCGUGGGUAGCAAACAGG
rnacentral:rRNA from 1 species